UACGAACGGUCCAAACGUUAUUCGGAAUCACUGGGCUUAAAGCGUCCGUAGGCGGCUCGGAAAGUAGGGUGUGAAAUCCCACGGCUCAACCGUGGAAUUGCGCUCUAAACUAUCGAGCUAGAGGGAGAUAGAGGUGAGCGGAACUGAUGGUGGAGCGGUGAAAUGCGUUGAUAUCAUCAGGAACACCGGAGGCGAAGGCGGCUCACUGGGUCUUUUCCGACGCUGAGGGACGAAAGCUAGGGGAGCGAACGGG
rnacentral:rRNA from 1 species